CAGCAGUGGGGCUCAGGAGGCAGAGCCUGGGGGCAUCUCCACCAUGGUCUGGGCUCCACUCCGCUUCAUCCCCUGCACUCGCUGCAUAGGU
rnacentral:pre_miRNA from 1 species